rnacentral:rRNA from 1 species
CCUUCCGUAAGGGGGCCUGCGGAAGGAUCAUUAAUGAAUUUGAAAGGAGUUUUGUUGCUGGCUUGUCAACCCAGGCAUGUGCACACUCCGAUCUCAUCCAUCUUACACCUGUGCACCCUUGCGUGGGUCUGUCGGCUUUGCGGUCGUUCGGGCUUGCGUUUUUUCUAUAAACUUUUAUGUAUGUAACAGAAUGUCUUAAAUGCUAUAAACGCAUCUUAUACAACUUUCAACAACGGAUCUCUUGGCUCUCGCAUCGAUGAAGAACGCAGCGAAAUGCGAUAAGUAAUGUGAAUUGCAGAAUUCAGUGAAUCAUCGAAUCUUUGAACGCACCUUGCGCCCCUUGGUAUUCCGAGGGGCACGCCUGUUCGAGUGUCGUGAAAUUCUCAACUCAAUCCUCUUGUUAUGAGAGGGCUGGGCUUGGACUUGGAGGUCUUGCCGGUGGUUCCUUCGGGACCGUCGGCUCCUCUUGAAUGCAUGAGUGGAUCCCUUUUUGUAGGGUUUGCCCUUGGUGUGAUAAUUAUCUACGCCGCGGGUAGCCUUGCGCGCUGGUCUGCUUCUAACCGUCCUUCGGGACAUGUUUUUCAUCUCAACUUGACCUCGAAUCAGGCUGCUGCCGCUGAUUUGCCCAAGCAUAUCAAUACGCGAAGGAAA